rnacentral:lncRNA from 1 species
AAUUUUGCACUCCAGGCUGUUCUGUCGUUACGUUGUGCAAUCUAUUUCAUCAACUCAUUUCAUCACGAUCUUUCAUUUUCAUCCACGUGGUUUCCCAAGCGGAAAGAAUCUUCUGUAGACGCAAACCUGAAAUUGCAAACUUUUGCAGCAGUAGACCAUCAACCCAUCACUACAUAAAUUAUUGUACACAAGCUCUUCUUAGAUUUUCUUCAAUCUAAAUAUCUGCCCACGACUAUCAUUUUGAUGGUUGGUUUUUAAGUAGGUGUUGCGGGGUUUCUGAAUUGUCAGAAGCAGGACAAAAAAUACUUCGUACAGCCUGAGGAGAACUGAGGAUGGUUGAAGACUGAUUUUUGUUUUCAUAUAUACUUGUUCACUCAUCUCAUCUUGGUUUCUUCACAAAAAGGCUCCAAAAAAUCUGGUGUGAGAAAAUUGCAGACAACAUGUAAGUUUAUCACUAUUUUUACCGUGAAGUUGGCUAAUUCAUCUUAACAAAAAUUUGAAGAGAUUCUCAGCCCCCAAGACUGAAAAAUAAUGGACCUCUAGACAAGGUACGAAGUAAAGCAUUCUGAUACAUGUUUCAUAACCAAUACUUCACAUGGAAUUUGAUUCUUGUAACAAAAAUUACUGAAUUUAACUCCUAACCAAGAAAUUUAAUGUUUCUUGACGCAUGAAUUCAAACCCUCUGUUCAUGAGAACGCAAUUUUCUACUUUAGUCAAAUCU